rnacentral:rRNA from 1 species
UCGAACGGUAACAGGGAGCUUGCUCCGCUGACGAGUGGCGAACGGGUGAGUAAUAUAUCGGAACGUACCCAAGAGUGGGGGAUAACGUAGCGAAAGUUACGCUAAUACCGCAUACGAUCUAUGGAUGAAAGCAGGGGACCUUCGGGCCUUGUGCUCCUGGAGCGGCCGAUAUCUGAUUAGCUAGUUGGUGAGGUAAAGGCUCACCAAGGCGACGAUCAGUAGCUGGUCUGAGAGGACGACCAGCCACACUGGAACUGAGACACGGUCCAGACUCCUACGGGAGGCAGCAGUGGGGAAUUUUGGACAAUGGGCGCAAGCCUGAUCCAGCAAUGCCGCGUGAGUGAAGAAGGCCUUCGGGUUGUAAAGCUCUUUUGUCAGGGAAGAAACGGCUGUGGCUAAUAUCCACGGCUAAUGACGGUACCUGAAGAAUAAGCACCGGCUAACUACGUGCCAGCAGCCGCGGUAAUACGUAGGGUGCAAGCGUUAAUCGGAAUUACUGGGCGUAAAGCGUGCGCAGGCGGUUUUGUAAGUCUGUCGUGAAAUCCCCGGGCUCAACCUGGGAAUUGCGAUGGAGACUGCAAGGCUAGAAUCUGGCAGAGGGGGGUAGAAUUCCACGUGUAGCAGUGAAAUGCGUAGAGAUGUGGAGGAACACCGAUGGCGAAGGCAGCCCCCUGGGUCAAGAUUGACGCUCAUGCACGAAAGCGUGGGGAGCAAACAGGAUUAGAUACCCUGGUAGUCCACGCCCUAAACGAUGUCU